CAGCGGAGACGCAGGUGUGCCUUCGGGAGCUCUGAGACAGGUGCUGCAUGGCUGUCGUCAGCUCGUGUUGUGAAAUGUUGGGUUAAGUCCCGCAACGAGCGCAACCCUUAUCCUUGUUUGCCAGCGAGUAAUGUCGGGAACUCCAGGGAGACUGCCGGUGAUAAACCGGAGGAAGGUGGGGACGACGUCAAGUCAUCAUGGCCCUUACGAGUAGGGCUACACACGUGCUACAAUGGCGCAUACAGAGGGCAGCAAGCUAGCGAUAGUGAGCGAAUCCCAAAAAGUGCGUCGUAGUCCGGAUUGGAGUCUGCAACUCGACUCCAUGAAGUCGGAAUCGCUAGUAAUCGUGAAUCAGAAUGUCACGGUGAAUACGUUCCCGGGCCUUGUACACACCGCCCGUCACACCAUGGGAGUGGGCUGCAAAAGAAGUGGGUAGUUUAACCUUUCGGGGAGGACGCUCACCACUUUGUGGUUCAUGACUGGGGUGAAGUCGUAACAAGGUAGCCCUAGGGGAACCUGGGGCUGGAUCACCUCCUUAUACGAAGAUAC
rnacentral:rRNA from 1 species